AGAGCGAACGCUGGCGGCAGGCCUAACACAUGCAAGUCGAACGCACCUUCGGGUGAGUGGCGGACGGGUGAGUAACACGUGGGAACGUACCUUUUGGUUCGGAAUAACGCAGGGAAACUUGCGCUAAUACCGAAUGUGCUCCGUAAGGAGGAAAGAUUUAUCGCCAUUAGAGCGGCCCGCGUUAGAUUAGCUAGUUGGUGAGGUAAAGGCUCACCAAGGCUACGAUCUAUAGCUGGUCUGAGAGGAUGAUCAGCCACAUUGGGGACUGAGACACGGCCCAAACUCCUACGGGAGGCAGCAGUGGGGAAUCUUGCGCAAUGGGCGAAAGCCUGACGCAGCCAUGCCGCGUGAAUGAUGAAGGUCUUAGGAUUGUAAAAUUCUUUCAGUAGGGACGAUAAUGACGGUACCUACAGAAGAAGCCCGGCUAACUUCGCGCCAGCAGCCGC
rnacentral:rRNA from 1 species